AUAUGCUCGGCUCCCUAUAUGCCACCCGUUACAACCAAUCCCAAAACUUGAUUAGUGUUGUCGUGUGGCAUAUAGGGAGCCAGGCACAU
rnacentral:pre_miRNA from 1 species